rnacentral:rRNA from 1 species
AUUGAACGCUGGCGGCAGGCCUAACACAUGCAAGUCGAGCGGCAGCGGGACCUUCGGGUUGCCGGCGAGCGGCGGACGGGUGAGUAAUGCCUAGGAAUCUGCCUGUUAGUGGGGGAUAACGCGGGGAAACUCGCGCUAAUACCGCAUACGUCCUACGGGAGAAAGCGGGGGCUCUUCGGACCUCGCGCUAACAGAUGAGCCUGGGUCGGAUUAGCUAGUUGGUGGGGUAAUGGCCCACCAAGGCGACGAUCCGUAACUGGUCUGAGAGGAUGAUCAGUCACACUGGACCUGAGACACGGUCCAGACUCCUACGGGAGGCAGCAGUGGGGAAUAUUGGACAAUGGGCGAAAGCCUGAUCCAGCCAUGCCGCGUGUGUGAAGAAGGUCUUCGGAUUGUAAAGCACUUUAAGUCGGGAGGAAGGGCUGUAGGCUAAUACCUUGCAGUUUUGACGUUACCGACAGAAUAAGCACCGGCUAACUUCGUGCCAGCCGCCGCGGUAAUAC